GGCUGAUUUUCUUAAAAUCAUUGCUGCCGUGCUUCUAAUAACAAUUAAUUUUUCCAACCAAACUUGUAACAUUAUAUAAAUGUUAUGUAAUUUUUGUGACUUGAGAUUUUAUGUAACGCUUUUACGUAACAUUGAUGUAACAUAAGAAGAACAAAUCAAAUCAAAUCAAAAAACAAUUUUGGUGACAGCGAUGUUAUGUAAUCGUGAUGUAACAUGGUUUACCAGAUGCGUACCAUCAGGUGUAAUUCAAAUUUCUACCGAAUUCCAUUUAGUUCCACGGACAACCCGUGGAGCCACACAAAAGAACCCUCCUAUGAAAAUGAGCCAGGAACAAUGCAGGCCAGGCACCCAAGAAACUUUCUUGAGUACUCUUUUUUUCAGAGACUCUUUUUUUCAGAGACUCUUUUUUUCAUCAGACGCAAGUUUUUGUUCAUUUGCAUUUCGCUUGUGCAUUGAGCAUUUACUAUUGUUGUGAGUCCUUUCACGAUUUGAAUAUUUCAAGGUAAAUUAACAGAUUUAUAAGUACGUUUUUAUUUAUUUUCUACUGUAUGACCAGAUACCAAAAAUAACCAUGUGAUUUUAUAGAUUUUUUUUUAGUCCAGUCGGCAUCAACGCCGUAUUUUAGCUAAGAAGUUCUUCAAUUUCCAAAAAUAAGGUGAAUAUAAAAGAUUCUUUUGAUCAAAAUAAUUUCAAAGCCGUAAUUGCAAUAAGUUGGAUUUGGUGAAACCCAAGGCUGAACUUCACGUUGCAUCGGUUCCCGAGCCCCUUGUUGAAGGGCUAAACCUACGCAGAAUUUUUAUUGAUAAGUGAUAAUACAGCACCAUGAAGCCGUCGAAUCUUAUGUCGAAACCGCAACAUCAGAGUGGUUUCGACUUAGUAGGCAGAGGUUGUAAAUAAGAAGUUAAUGUUAAAACAAAAUGUUGUUAUAUAAUAGUUAUUUCAAUAAAGUUCCAUCUUUACGCAUUUUUAGAACAAAUCGCUUAAAUUAAUCUUAUGUGAGACAGUUGAUUAACCGUCUAUUAAUCCUGAGAUAUCAUCAACUCCAAUAAAUAAACAAGUUUAACAAGUCUCGACUGUCACUUGACAACGAGUAAAUUCACGUUUCGCAGCGCCACCAUCAGCAGUUGAU